GGGGCGCACGGGCAGAGCCAAAACCAAGAAAAAAACCUGGCCUUUGAUCAUUUUCUUCGCUGCCCAGCCAUAGACCACACUAGUCUUCUCAAUUUCUUCCUUUAUUCUUCUUCCAUCUCCAUCCUCCAUCUCGUUCACCCUCCCGCUAGCAAUCCUGCAAACCCGCAGCAGGUAAUCACCCCUACUCCAGCCACAGCAGCAACCCCCUCGCUGCCCACUCCCGAUCUCCUCAGCCAUCAUAGCCCCGGACGCUCCUCUGCAACAGAUCGCAGCCGUCGCCGUCCCUCUCUCCAACCAAGCCUCUACAGCCAUGCCAGCCACGACCUCCUGCCUCUUGGCCACCCAGUAGCACCGACCACCACUCCAGCAGUUCCAACUUCAGCCGAGAGACUGCCGCCGUGAACCAACUUUAGCUAAGAGACUGCCGCCGUGAACCACCACUCCACCAGCGGCCAAGAACCACCAGAGCACCGAGCUCUGCCCCGCCUCCAGCCACCGUGAGCCAGGCCACAGCCACCGUACGUGAGCCAGCCACGUCCACGCACCCACAGCCACUGCAACACCAGCACAACCGCGCUCCCUUCUGCAACUAUUGUCGCAAGUCCCAGACCCCGCAGCUGCUCCGGCCAGCCACGAACCAUUCUCCAUCAUCUGCAACUCCGACGGCCUGUGGUGAUCUAGGUAGGCGAGCAGAUCAGGCUCGCAGAUAGAAGGGCUUCAGUAGUGCGCGGUCAGUGAAGUGAGUAUUGUGGAGGGUUUUUGUAUAUCCCAGCAUAGAUGAGGGUAUUUUGGGGAAACAGAUCUAUGUGUAUAUUUUGGGAAACAUGUAGUACUCUGGUAUUGUAUGGUAUUGUAUUAUAUAUAAUUAUAUAUAUGGAUAUGUUUAUUU